GACGAACGCUGGCGGCGCGCUUAACACAUGCAAGUCGAGCGAGAACCCUCCUUCGGGAGGGGGACAGCGGCGAACGGGUGAGUAACACGUGGGUAAUCUGCCCUCGGUUCUGGGAUAGCCCGGGGAAACCCGGAUUAAUACCGGGAUAGCCUCUCGAGCUCUCGGGCUCGUGAGAAAAAGGUGCUUCGGCCUCCGAUCGAGGAGGAGCCCGNGGCGGAUUAGCUUGUGGUGGGUAACGCCCACCAAGGCGACGAUCCGUAGCUGGUCUGAGAGGACGAUCAGCCACACUGGGACUGAGACACGG
rnacentral:rRNA from 1 species